CGCUAAACACGAAUACCAGUACAGUCGAGUCUGCUUCGUAUUUCAUUGUCAGAGGUGAAAUUCUUGGAUUUAUGAAAGACGAACUACUGUGAAAGCAUUUGCCAAGGAUGUUUUCAUUAAUCAAGAACGAAAGUUGGGGGCUCGAAGACGAUUAGAUACCGUCGUAGUCUCAACCAUAAACGAUGCCGACUACGGAUUGGCGGACGUUUUUGCAUGACUCCGUCAGCACCUUGAAAGAAAUCAAAAUUUUUGGGUUCCGGGGGGAAAAUGGUCCCAAGGCCGAAACCUAAAGCACUUGAAGGACCGGCCCCUCCAUGCGUGUAAACGGCAGCUUAAUUGGACAACGCCUGGGAAAAAUUUACACGUCCAAAAAUUAGAAAGAUUGACCGAUUGAAAAGCCCUUUCAGAGUCCACGGAUUGUUCUGCCAAGCCCUUCCCCACUUCUUCGUACAAAAAGAAUAGUGCUUUCACCCAA
rnacentral:rRNA from 1 species